CCAAUAGCGUAUAUUAAAGUUGUUGCAGUUAAAAAGCUCGUAGUUGAAUUUCGGGAUCAAUAUGCUGGUCGUGCCUUUGGUACGUACUGGCAUUAUUGAUUUCUCCCUUCUGAAGAACCUUGAUGUCAUUAAUUUGGUGUCUUGGGGAAUCAGGACCGUUACUUUGAAAAAAUUAGAGUGUUUAAAGCAGGCUCACGCUUGAAUACAUUAGCAUGGAAUAAUGAAAUAGGACGUUUGAUUCUAUUUUGUUGGUUUCUAGGAUCGACGUAAUGAUUAAUAGGGAUAGUUGGGGGCAUUAGUAUUCAAUUGUCAGAGGUGAAAUUCUUGGAUUUAUUGAAGACUAACUACUGCGAAAGCAUUUGCCAAGGAUGUUUUCAUUAAUCAAGAACGAAAGUUAGGGGAUCGAAGACGAUCAGAUACCGUCGUAGUCUUAACCAUAAACUAUGCCGACUAGGGAUCGGAUGAUGUUAAUUUUUUAAUGACUCAUUCGGCGCCUUACG
rnacentral:misc_RNA from 1 species